UACGGAGGGUGCAAGCAUUAAUCGGAUUUAUUGGGCGUAAAGAGCACGCAGGUGGGAUGGUCAGUCAGAUGUGAAAUCCCGAAGCUCAACUUCGGAACAGCAUUUGAUACUGCCUUUCUUGAGGGUAGACGGAGAAAGUGGAAUUCCACAAGUAGCGGUGAAAUGCGUAGAUAUGUGGAAGAAAUCCAGUGGCGAAGGCGACUUUCUAGUUUAUUCCUGACACUGAGGUGCGAAAGCGAGGGGAGGAAACAGG
rnacentral:rRNA from 1 species